rnacentral:rRNA from 2 species
GGACUACCAGGGUUUCUAAUCCCGUUUGCUCCCCUGGCUUUCGCGCCUCAGCGUCAGAAGGGGUCCAGCACGUCGCUUUCGCCACCGGCGUUCCUUCCGAUAUCUACGCAUUUCACCGCUCCACCGGAAGUUCCACAUGCCCCUACCCCCCUCGAGGCGAUCAGUAUCGAAGGCACGCUUCCCGUUAAGCGGAAAGAUUUCACCCCCGACUGGACCGCCCGCCUACGCGCCCUUUAAGCCCAGUGAAUCCGAACAACGUUCGCACGGUUCGUCUUACCGCGGCUGCUGGCAC